rfam:Glossina pallidipes unplaced genomic scaffold Scaffold126, whole genome shotgun sequence.
UGGGGUAGUAUUUAGUACGUAGGCGCCAUGGAUGGCGAAUUGUGGAUGCUGCUAGCAAGAACCAGCAGUAUUUCUUGAAGAUUUUCUACCGCCA